rnacentral:rRNA from 1 species
UCUUGGUCAUUUAGAGGAAGUAAAAGUCGUAACAAGGUCUCCGUUGGUGAACCAGCGGAGGGAUCAUUACCGAGUUUACAACUCCCAAACCCCUGUGAACAUACCUAUACGUUGCCUCGGCGGAUCAGCCCGCGCCCCGUAAAACGGGACGGCCCGCCCGAGGACCCCUAAACUCUGUUUUUAGUGGAACUUCUGAGUAAAACAAACAAAUAAAUCAAAACUUUCAACAACGGAUCUCUUGGUUCUGGCAUCGAUGAAGAACGCAGCAAAAUGCGAUAAGUAAUGUGAAUUGCAGAAUUCAGUGAAUCAUCGAAUCUUUGAACGCACAUUGCGCCCGCCAGUAUUCUGGCGGGCAUGCCUGUUCGAGCGUCAUUUCAACCCUCAAGCUCAGCUUGGUGUUGGGACUCGCGGUAACCCGCGUUCCCCAAAUCGAUUGGCGGUCACGUCGAGCUUCCAUAGCGUAGUAAUCAUACACCUCGUUACUGGUAAUCGUCGCGGCCACGCCGUUAAACCCCAACUUCUGAAUGUUGACCUCGGAUCAGGUAG